AGAGUUUGAUCCUGGCUCAGAGUUAACGCUGGCGGCGUGCCUAACACAUGCAAGUCGAGCGAAUUCUUACAGAGUAUCGUAAGAGUUAGCGGCAAACGGGUGAGUAACACAUGGGAAACCUCCCUUAGAAUGGGGAACAUCUCCGUGAAAAACGGAGCUAAUACCGCAUAAGACCACAGUUUGGCAUCAAACAGGGGUAAAAGCAGCAAUGCGUUCUAAGAUGGUCCUGUGUCCUAUCAGCUAGUUGGUGGGGUAACGGCCUACCAAGGCUAAGACGGGUAUCCGGCCUGAAAGGGUGAACGGACACACUGGAACUGAGACACGGUCCAGACUCCUACGGGAGGCAGCAGUGGGGUAAUUUUUGGACAAGUGGGGGGAAAAACCCCUGAUCCAGCGACGCCGCGUGGAGGAUGUAAGGUUUUAGGAUUGUAAACUCCUUUUGGAGGGGAAGAAUAAAUUGACGGUACCCUCAGAAAAAGCCACGGCUAACUUCGUGCCAGCCGCAGC
rnacentral:rRNA from 1 species